rnacentral:rRNA from 1 species
AAUGGGCGGGAGCCUGAACCAGCCAAGUCGCGUGAAGGAAGAAGGAUCUAUGGUUCGUAAACUUCUUUUGCAGGGGAAUAAAGUGCAGGACGUGUCCUGUUUUGUAUGUACCCUGAGAAUAAGGAUCGGCUAACUCCGUGCCAGCAGCCGCGGUAAUACGGAGGAUCCUAGCGUUAUCCGGAUUUACUGGGUUUAAAGGGUGCGUAGGCGGGGCUUUAAGCCGGUGGUGAAAUGCAGCGGCUCAAACGCUGGAGNGCCGUUGGGUCUGGGGCUCUUGGAUACGGUCGGGGCGGGUGGAACUCGUGGUGUAGCGGUGAAAUGCAUAGAUAUCACGAGGAACGCCGGUAGCGAAGGCAGCUCGCCGGGCCGGUAUUGACGCUGAGGCACGAAAGCGUGGGGAUCGAA